GAGAAGAACGUAGCGAAAUGCGAUACUUGGUGUGAAUUGCAGAAUCCCGUGAACCAUCGAGUCUUUGAACGCAAGUUGCGCCCGAAGCCAUUAGGCCGAGGGCACGCCUGCCUGGGUGUCACACACCGUUACCCUCGCGCCAACGUCCAUCGUUGGCCGCGGCGCGGGGCGUGCGCUGACCUCCCGCGAGCGGGGUCUCGUGGUUGGUUGAAAAUCGAGUUCGCGGUCGAGGGUGCCGUGAUGAAAUGGUGGAUGGGCAACGCCCGAGGCCAAUCACGCGCGACUCUGUCCGGCUCGGACUCCUGGACCCCUUCGGCGUCUCCGGACGCUCUUUGGCGAGACCUCAGGUCAGGCGGGGCUACCUGCUGAGUUUAAGCAUAUCAAUAAGCGGAGGA
rnacentral:misc_RNA from 1 species